AUGGGGAGCAUUGCGAUAGAGAUUACCUUGUCUAUUCUAAGGACCUGAAUAGACUAUUUUGCUUUGGUUGUAAAUUAUUUACAAAAGGGCAUAGAAAAGGGUCAACUUGAGAAUGAAAAGGAGCACCGGAGAAUUUUUUUCUCCAGAAUUGUUUACAUUAUUAAAUUUAUUGCCAAGCAUAAUCUAGCCUUUUGUGGUAGUAACAUCAAACUGUAUGAAGAUAGCAAUGGGAAUUUCUUGGAUCUAGUAGAGAUGUUGGCUGAAUUUAACACAGUUAUUCAAGAGCAUGCUUGUCGUAUUACAAAUGAAGAAACUCAUGCUCAUCAUCUUGAUCACAAGAUUUAGAAUGAGUUGAUACACUUGCUUGCUUCAGCUAUUAAGUUUGAGAUUGUUAAGAAAAUAAAGAGUAAAUAUUUCUCGGUCAUACUUGAUUGUACCGAUGCAAGCCACCAAGAACAGAUAUCUUCAAUUGUUAGGUAUGUGGAUUCAUCUUCAAGUCAUGUUUGUGUAGAAGAAUCCUUUCUAGGAUUUUUAGAUGUAAAUGGUACGACUGGGCAAGGACUUUUAGAAGUGCUAGAGAAUGAACUUAAGCUUCUUGAUCUUGAUAUAGAUAAUGUGGGACAAGGGCAUGAUAAUGGGUCAGAUAUGAAAGGAAAACAUCAUGGGGUACAAAGGAGAGUUUUGAAUGUAAAUCCUAGAGCGAUCUAUUCUACUUGUGGUUGCCAUAGCCUUAAUUUAACACUUUGUGAUAUCAUCCAAGACAUUUAUAUAACUUCUGCAAUUUUUACGAAGAAAUGCAAUUCUAAAAGAUAA
rnacentral:rRNA from 1 species